CCUGGCGCCGUCAGCCACAACUCGCCGAAUGACAACGCCUGCGGCGCAUCGGGUAGGCCUUCCCGCCAAGUGUCUGUAUGCAGAUAGUGGCCUACCCUUAGCGCCUGAGUUGCAACACACCCAGCUACACCCUGCAACGAGACUACUACGGGUUCGGGUUGUUUGCUGCGUUAGUUCGUUCGUUUCGUUAUCGUUAGGCUUGUGUGGUUGUUUCUGACUUCGCGGAGGAAGACGGUCUAUUAGUUGCAUCUGCGCUUGACAUCAGCUAAGCAGCCGUCAGCUGUCAUGCUGAGUCGGAGUCACAGCACACAGCAUGAGAAAUGGACCCUUUUUCUCAUGAUCACAGGAAUAAAUCUGGAAUUUAGAUUCGUCCAAAGUCACCAGCAGAAAGGAGCCAGCUUAUUGAGGAAAAUGUACUCUUGUAACGUGAAUGAUUUGAAACAAUAAAGAAUUAAAAUACGAUCCAAAA